rnacentral:tRNA from 1 species
GCCGACUGGUGUAGUGGUUAGUGAAUCUGACUGCUAAACCGAAGGUCUCGGGUUCGAUUCCCGGCUGGUGCA